rnacentral:rRNA from 1 species
UACGGGGGGGGCAAGCGUUGUUCGGAAUUACUGGGCGUAAAGCGCGUGUAGGCGGCCAUGCAAGUCGGAUGUGAAAGCCCUCGGCUCAACCGGGGAAGUGCACUCGAAACUGCAAGGCUAGAGUCUCGGAGAGGAUCGUGGAAUUCUCGGUGUAGAGGUGAAAUUCGUAGAUAUCGAGAGGAACACCGGUGGCGAAGGCGGCGAUCUGGACGAUGACUGACGCUGAGACGCGAAAGCGUGGGGAGCAAACAGG